ACUUCUAUAGACAGCCAGGUCCAAUGAAAUUAUUUCUUCCUUCUGUUUGCUGGUCCAUUAGGAUAUUGCUCCAACAUACAUAAGCAAGAGUUAAAUCUAAUCCUUAUCCACCCAAAGGAUCAACAAAAUCAUUCAAGUUACUUUGUGGCUCCAUUGUUAAAGGUUGUAGGGACAAAUAAAGAUCCAGAGUGCUCUUGUUCCCAAGCAAUGGCAUAUUCUUCUGGAGCUUCUCAAAUAAAAUAUGCUGUAUUUCGAUCUUUGCCCCUUUGCGAAUUUCGAAAACGUGUUAGCUAGAAUUUAUUUCUUUCAUUUUUAAAGCUGUUAUUCAUGUUUAUUCCAUAUAUAAAUCUAAAGUAAUAACUCUUAGGAAAUACUUAUGUAUAAAUCAGAGCAUAUCAAACCUUGAAUGUUUUUGAAAAUACUAUAUAAGGUGUUGUAUGAA